AAAUUGAAGAGUUUGAUCAUGGCUCAGAUUGAACGCUGGCGGCAGGCCUAACACAUGCAAGUCGAGCGGUAGCACAGAGAGCUUGCUCUCGGGUGACGAGCGGCGGACGGGUGAGUAAUGUCUGGGAAACUGCCUGAUGGAGGGGGAUAACUACUGGAAACGGUAGCUAAUACCGCAUAAUGUCGCAAGACCAAAGUGGGGGACCUUCGGGCCUCAUGCCAUCAGAUGUGCCCAGAUGGGAUUAGCUAGUAGGUGGGGUAAUGGCUCACCUAGGCGACGAUCCUUAGCUGGUCUGAGAGGAUGACCAGCCACACUGGAACUGAGACACGGUCCAGACUCCUACGGGAGGCAGCAGUGGGGAAUAUUGCACAAUGGGCGCAAGCCUGAUGCAGCCAUGCCGCGUGUGUGAAGAAGGCCUUCGGGUUGUAAAGCACUUUCAGCGGGGAGGAAGGCGGUGAGGUUAAUAACCUCAUCGAUUGACGUUACCCGCAGAAGAAGCACCGGCUAACUCCGUGCCAGCAGCCGCGGUAAUACGGAGGGUGCAAGCGUUAAUCGGAAUUACUGGGCGUAAAGCGCACGCAGGCGGUCUGUCAAGUCGGAUGUGAAAUCCCCGGGCUCAACCUGGGAACUGCAUUCGAAACUGGCAGGCUAGAGUCUUGUAGAGGGGGGUAGAAUUCCAGGUGUAGCGGUGAAAUGCGUAGAGAUCUGGAGGAAUACCGGUGGCGAAGGCGGCCCCCUGGACAAAGACUGACGCUCAGGUGCGAAAGCGUGGGGAGCAAACAGGAUUAGAUACCCUGGUAGUCCACGCCGUAAACGAUGUCGAUUUGGAGGUUGUGCCCUUGAGGCGUGGCUUCCGGAGCUAACGCGUUAAAUCGACCGCCUGGGGAGUACGGCCGCAAGGUUAAAACUCAAAUGAAUUGACGGGGGCCCGCACAAGCGGUGGAGCAUGUGGUUUAAUUCGAUGCAACGCGAAGAACCUUACCUGGUCUUGACAUCCACAGAACUUUCCAGAGAUGGAUUGGUGCCUUCGGGAACUGUGAGACAGGUGCUGCAUGGCUGUCGUCAGCUCGUGUUGUGAAAUGUUGGGUUAAGUCCCGCAACGAGCGCAACCCUUAUCCUUUGUUGCCAGCGGUCCGGCCGGGAACUCAAAGGAGACUGCCAGUGAUAAACUGGAGGAAGGUGGGGAUGACGUCAAGUCAUCAUGGCCCUUACGACCAGGGCUACACACGUGCUACAAUGGCAUAUACAAAGAGAAGCGACCUCGCGAGAGCAAGCGGACCUCAUAAAGUAUGUCGUAGUCCGGAUUGGAGUCUGCAACUCGACUCCAUGAAGUCGGAAUCGCUAGUAAUCGUAGAUCAGAAUGCUACGGUGAAUACGUUCCCGGGCCUUGUACACACCGCCCGUCACACCAUGGGAGUGGGUUGCAAAAGAAGUAGGUAGCUUAACCUUCGGGAGGGCGCUUACCACUUUGUGAUUCAUGACUGGGGUGAAGUCGUAACAAGGUAACCGUAGGGGAACCUGCGGUUGGAUCACCUCCUUA
rnacentral:rRNA from 1 species